rnacentral:rRNA from 1 species
GCUUGUCUCAAAGAUUAAGCCAUGCAUGUCUCAGUACAAGCCAAAUUAAGGUGAAACCGCGAAAGGCUCAUUAAAUCAGUUAUGGUUCCUUAGAUCGUACCCACAAUUACUUGGAUAACUGUGGUAAUUCUAGAGCUAAUACAUGCAAACAGAGCUCCGACCGGAAACGGGAGGAGUGCUUUUAUUAGAUCAAAACCAAUCGGUGGCGGGCUCGUCAUCGUACAACUUGGUGACUCUGAAUAACUUUACGCUGAUCGCACGGUCACCGCACCGGCGACGCAUCUUUCAAAUGUCUGCCUUAUCAACUGUCGAUGGUAGGUUCUGCGCCUACCAUGGUUGUUACGGGUAACGGGGAAUCAGGGUUCGAUUCCGGAGAGGGAGCCUGAGAAACGGCUACCACAUCCAAGGAAGGCAGCAGGCGCGCAAAUUACCCACUCCCGGCACGGGGAGGUAGUGACGAAAAAUAACGAUACGGGACUCAUCCGAGGCCCCGUAAUCGGAAUGAGUACACUCUAAACCCUUUAACGAGGAUCAAUUGGAGGGCAAGUCUGGUGCCAGCAGCCGCGG